UAGGGAAUAUUGGACAAUGGGCGCAAGCCUGAUCCAGCCAUGCCGCGUGAGUGAAGAAGGCCCUCGGGUUGUAAAGCUCUUUUGUCUGGAAAGAAAAGCAUCGGGUUAAUACCCCGGUGUUCUGACGGUACCGGAAGAAUAAGCACCGGCUAACUUCGUGCCAGCAGCCGCGGUAAUACGAAGGGUGCAAGCGUUACUCGGAAUUACUGGGCGUAAAGCGUGCGUAGGUGGUUCGUUAAGUCUGAUGUGAAAGCCCUGGGCUCAACCUGGGAAUGGCAUUGGAAACUGGCGGACUGGAGUGCGGUAGAGGGUAGCGGAAUUCCCGGUGUAGCAGUGAAAUGCGUAGAGAUCGGGAGGAACAUCCGUGGCGAAGGCGGCUACCUGGACCAGCACUGACACUGAGGCACGAAAGCGUGG
rnacentral:rRNA from 1 species